UGCAAAUGUUAGAGAGAGUUGCAUACAGAACUGUGUAUGUUUGGAAAAAUUCACACUAGUUUGCUGUUGAAUUAUCAUGGGUGUGUGUGUGUGUGUGUGUGUGUGUGUGGAACGCAA